CUUACAAGUAAAGAAAACAGAGGAGAGUAACAUCAACAAGAUGAGCCAAGAUGGCACAGUCUGACCAGGGAACUUGGCAGGAUGCAGAUCUACCUGAUUUGGGUCCUCAAAUGAAGAGUUUUGCUGGCCUUGGAGCCUGGUCUGCCUUUGCCCAGACAGGGAAGCUAAGGGAAGUGAUUUCCAUCUCCACCUGACAACCAGCUACAAGUUAACUUCUGCCCUGUCAGACUUAGAAAAUAUCUAGCAAAUAGAGUCAAGCCCAGCAUUGCACUGGAAAAACACCUAGUAAUCUCUUUUGCCUCUUUCCAAGUUUCAGAAGCUGGGAAGUCUAAGAUCAAGGUACCAGCAAAUUUGGUGUCUGAUGAGACCCUACAUCCUGGAUCAUAGAUAGCCAUCUUCAACAGAAGAGAAACUAUGUGGCAAGUUUAGCUACCUUGGGGAAGCCAACACUCUCAAACAACUGUCCUCUGGAGAUCAGUUGAUGACAUCAUUCAUAUAUUACCAAGAACUGACUAUAGCAGAAAGUCUACAGAACACGAGGGAGUGUACUCAAUAAGAAGAAUCCAGAAAGAUUUCCAUGGGGAGGGCCAGGAGGGUGAACAAGACUGUAGCAUGUACCCCAGAGGUGGCUGGAGCUGGUGAGAGGAUGAAAAGAAAAGACCAGUUUUAGAAAAAAAUAGGCCAAAGGCAAAGGAAAGAAGGCAGUUGAGAACUCAAAAUACAGCAGCAAAUGCACAAAGGGCAAGGGGGCGGGGGGCGUGCACAGGGAGACCUAAACCUGCAAAUGCAGUGUCUUUACCCCCUAUUUACUCAGGCCCCAUGACACCAGUGUUUUACAGUCCCACCAAGCAGGGCCUGGAGGCUCACUUGCUUUCCAGACCCAGCAGGCUGUGAGCUGCUGCAGGCCUGGAGACCACACCACCUCCACCUUUGUAUUCCCAGAGCCCCACAGGCACCCAGGAGGCCUCAGGAAGUGUUUGUGGAAGAAUGGCAGUCAGUGUGUUCUGCUGCAGAAUGAGAGAGGCACUAGAAAGAAGCGGAGGGUAUUGUGCUCAAUCAAAAUGGUGUUUCUCUGAAAUCUUUUUGCAUUGCCUUGCCAACCACAAAAUUAACCACGGCUGCUGGAGAUUUUGUAGCUUGCUUUUAACAUUGUAAGCCAGGGAAAUUCUACUUCAAAUGCUUCUAUGAAAAAGUUUUCUGUGCUUUAAUGUGAACACUGAUCUCCAACUUUGAACUCCAGUGGCCUUUCCUCCAUGGUUAUCCUCCUGGGCCUCUUUGCCCAGGAUUACGAUGGUCCUUCCCACUUUCCCUGGCCUUAUUUGACAUUAUACAUUUUACGACUGAACAUCCACCACUGCCUUCCCCUCCACCUCCUCCCAUCCCCUUUCCACACCGACAGACAGUGCAUCCACUCUGGUCUAAGGUGCUAUGUGACUCUAUUAGUGACAAUCAUGUCACCUCCUCGUGAGCUCCAGUCACCCAUUUCCAAUUGCAUACUUGACAUUUCUACUGUAAUGGCCCACUGUUACCUCAAAGUCAUCUGAAAUUAA